GAAAUGCGAUAAGUAAUGUGAAUUGCAGAAUUCAGUGAAUCAUCGAAUCUUUGAACGCACAUUGCGCCCGCCAGUACUCUGGCGGGCAUGCCUGUUCGAGCGUCAUUUCAACCCUCAAGCCCUAGCGGCUUGGUGUUGGGCCUCGGCCGUCCUCUGUGGCGGCCGUGCCCUAAAUUCAGUGGCGGACUCGCCGUUGCCUCCUCUGCGUAGUAAUUACACCUCGCACCGGACAGACGCGAAGUCCACGCCGUUAAACAACCCAAUUUUCUGAAUGUUGACCUCGGAUCAGGUAGGAAUACCCGCUGAACUUAA
rnacentral:misc_RNA from 1 species